rnacentral:lncRNA from 10 species
AGAUGCUGCACAGUGCACAUGCUUAAGCAGAACAGAGAAGUGAAGACUGAGUCUGAAAUGGGAAAGAUAUCCCCACACAAGUCCAGCACAGGCUGUUAGAACUCUAUAUCUCUUGUUCUGGAAGCUUUGAAGUCCAAGAUGAAGGUGGCAGCAGCUUGAGUGUCUGCUGUUUCCCUCUCAGAUGUCACAAGUGCCACCACAGCUGACAGGACCCCCUUCAGGAGGGAAACAAUAUAUGCUCAAGUUCUCAAAGACUCCCAUGAGUAUAAGAAGAAGGUCCAACUAGUGUAUAAAGAGGGGGUCCCCAGUUUGAAAUGUCUUGUUACUGCUGACAAGACCUGCAUGACUGACCAUUUGCUCCCUAAGAGAUGAAAACUGACAUUGCUUUGAAGUUCAAAAUGACAUUGCCAAAACAAGAAGAAAUGGAAAAUAACUGCAGCACGUUUAUGACAUU